CUGUGUGAGAUUCUUUGCUAUUUAAACAACAGGCUGAGCCAUUUUGGCUCAUACUCGCAGUAGAAUAAAACUUGAAUGCAGAGUAUCAUUGAUUUGAAACAGAACGCUUUGUUCCACAGUAUCUAUGAAAGACUUUACGGUUCACUGAGUACAUUCUUGAAUUGUUUGAACUAAAUAACAAAAACCCUAUCACCAGACGAAGACUAUAGGUAGUCGAAACCGGUUGUGGAUCAGGGGUCUAAUUCUUCUUUUAUGAAGAAACAGGAAAAUAAACAAGAAGGUUUAUUCCAUUGUGAAUGUAACUACCAUUCAUCAUACUGUGAAUGCAACAUUUGAUUGUCAUUUGUAACUAUUUAUCUGAAAUUUAUAUUCAUUUAUUGUAUAUAGUACAAUGUUUAAUGAUAUUUAAUACAUUGAUAUUAUUCCAUUAGAGGACACUUGUUAGUUCAAGAACAUGUGAAGAUCACUGCAGGAUUAGCCCAAAGGCUUAUAGUCUCUUCUCCAUAAUAGCUAAGCAGUAGUUCAUAAGCACAACACAAGACCAAUAGCACUCCUGUGCUAUUUAUCCCAGCCACAGAUAAUGAAGUAAGCUGCCUUUGGUGCUCUAGGUAAUACAUAGCUAUCAAGGCUAGUAGCAUUUGAUUGGCAAAUCCUCCAUGAAUUUGUCUAAUAACUUUUUAAAGCUAUUUGGAUUGAUGGCCAUCACUGACAUCAGUGAAUUUCCCAGACUAUGUGUCAUUUCCUAAAUCUCACACCAUUCAGCAUAAUUGGAUGAACUCAGGUCAUGUAUCUCAGAACAGAUUACCAAAACCAAAAUGAUAUACUCAGAAACAUUGAAUUAUGUCAUGUGAUUCAGGCUAAGCCACAUGUUAUGGGACCAGGCCACAAACAACAUACAGAACACUUGUGCAUCCAUGAAAGACAAUUCUGUGUUCUUUGUUUUUCCAUUGAACUGAUCUUUUAAACUGUCAUGAAAAUGUACCUUUUAAAUAUAAUCCAUGCACUCGUAUAUAUUUAUCUUUUCCUGUCAAAAAUGUUAUUGCAAAGUUUAUGAUUAUUUUCAUUUUAAAACAUAAUGAUAGCACAGUACACAGUCUGCUGAAUGCAAGCCAAAGUGUUUUUAAGAGCUCAGUUUUUCAGUAUAAAGCAUCCAUUUAUCACUGGA